CCCCGGUAAACGGCGGCCGUAACUAUAACGGUCCUAAGGUAGCGAAAUUCCUUGUCGGGUAAGUUCCGACCUGCACGAAUGGCGUAAUGAUGGCCAGGCUGUCUCCACCCGAGACUCAGUGAAAUUGAACUCGCUGUGAAGAUGCAGUGUACCCGCGGCAAGACGGAAAGACCCCGUGAACCUUUACUAUAGCUUGACACUGAACAUUGAGCCUUGAUGUGUAGGAUAGGUGGGAGGCUUUGAAGUGUGGACGCCAGUCUGCAUGGAGCCGACCUUGAAAUACCACCCUUUAAUGUUUGAUGUUCUAACGUGGACCCGUAAUCCGGGUUGCGGACAGUGUCUGGUGGGUAGUUUGACUGGGGCGGUCUCCUCCUAAAGAGUAACGGAGGAGCACGAAGGUUGGCUAAUCCUGGUCGGACAUCAGGAGGUUAGUGCAAUGGCAUAAGCCAGCUUGACUGCGAGCGUGACGGCGCGAGCAGGUGCGAAAGCAGGUCAUAGUGAUCCGGUGGUUCUGAAUGGAAGGGCCAUCGCUCAACGGAUAAAAGGUACUCCGGGGAUAACAGGCUGAUACCGCCCAAGAGUUCAUAUCGACGGCGGUGUUUGGCACCUCGAUGUCGGCUCAUCACAUCCUGGGGCUGAAGUAGGUCCCAAGGGUAUGGCUGUUCGCCAUUUAAAGUGGUACGCGAGCUGGGUUUAGAACGUCGUGAGACAGUUCGGUCCCUAUCUGCCGUGGGCGCUGGAGAACUGAGGGGGGCUGCUCCUAGUACGAGAGGACCGGAGUGGACGCAUCACUGGUGUUCGGGUUGUCAUGCCAAUGGCACUGCCCGGUAGCUAAAUGCGGAAGAGAUAAGUGCUGAAAGCAUCUAAGCACGAAACUUGCCCCGAGAUGAGUUCUCCCUGAGACUUAGAGUCUCCUGAAGGAACGUUGAAGACGACGACGUUGAUAGGCCGGGUGUGUAAGCGCAGCGAUGCGUUGAGCUAACCGGUACUAAUGAACCGUGAGGCUUAACCUUACAACGCCG
rnacentral:rRNA from 1 species